rnacentral:rRNA from 1 species
UAAUACGGAGGGUGCAAGCGUUAAUCGGAAUUACUGGGCGUAAAGCGCGCGUAGGCGGUUUUUUAAGUCGGAUGUGAAAGCCCCGGGCUCAACCUGGGAAUUGCAUCCGAUACUGGAUAACUAGAAUGCGGGAGGGGGAGGUAGAAUUCCAUGUGUAGCAGUGAAAUGCGUAGAUAUAUGGAGGAAUACCAGUGGCGAAGGCGGCCUCCUGGCUCGACAUUGACGCUGAGGUGCGAAAGCGUGGGGAGCAAACGGGAUUAGAUACCCCGGUAGUCCACGCCGUAAACGAUGUCUACUAGCUGUAGGGGUACUUGAGACCUUUGUAGCGCAGCUAACGCAAUAAGUAGACCGCCUGGGGAGUACGGCCGCAAGGUUAAAACUCAAAUGAAUUGACGGGGGCCCGCACAAGCAGUGGAGCAUGUGGUUUAAUUCGAUGCAACGCGAAGAACCUUACCAGGCCUUGACAUCCCCGGAACUUUCUAGAGAUAGAUUGGUGCCUUCGGGAACCGGGUGACAGGUGCUGCAUGGCUGUCGUCAGCUCGUGUCGUGAGAUGUUGGGUUAAGUCCCGUAACGAGCGCAACCCUUGUCCUUAGUUGCCAGCACAUAAUGGUGGGAACUCUAAGGAGACUGCCGGUGACAAACCGGAGGAAGGUGGGGACGACGUCAAGUCAUCAUGGCCCUUACGGCCUGGGCUACACACGUGCUACAAUGGCUAGGACAGACGGCUGCAAACCAGCGAUGGGGAGCUAAUCCGACAAACCUAGUCGUAGUCCGGAUCGGAGUCUGCAACUCGACUCCGUGAAGUCGGGAUUGCUAGUAAUCGCGAAUCAGAAUGUCGCGGUGAAUACGUUCCCGGGCCUUGUACACACCGCCCGUCACACCAUGGGAGUGGGUUGCUCCAGAAGUGGUUAGUCUAACCUUCGGGAGGACGAUCACCACGGAGUGAUUCAUGACUGGGGUGAAGUCGUAACAAGGUAGCCGUA